rnacentral:rRNA from 1 species
AAUCAACGCUGGCGGCGUGCCUCAGACAUGCAAGUCGAACGCGAAAGUUCCCUUCGGGGAGCGAGUAGAGUGGCGCACGGGUGAGUAACACGUGGAUAAUUUACCUCGGUGGGGAAGUAACAACCGAAACGGUUAGCUAUACCGCAUAAUGCAGCGGCGAUCUAUGAUGACAGUUGUUAAAGCGGGGGAUCGCAAGACCUCGCGCCUGAAGAGAAGUCCGCGGCAGANAGCUAGUUGGUAGGGUAAUGGCCUACCAAGGCGACGAUCUGUAGCCGGCCUGAGAGGGCGGUCGGCCACACUGACACUGACAUACGGGUCAGACUCCUACGGGAGGCAGCAGUCGGGAA